GAGCACACUCUACCAGCAACACUGACAGCUCACCAGUGGGAGCUGAUAGAUAAGACUGCUCUCAUCCAUUGAAGAGCUGACCAGAAACGUGAACAGAAAGACUGCAACUGCACCUGAUGGGAUCCCUGCCAUAACAGAUGUGUUCUGUCCAGUGAAGGCAGUGGAGAAGCCCUACACUGAUCUUGAAACUGUGCCACGCUACUAGAAACCAGCUACAAGGAUGGGCAGCUGUUUUCGCAAAGUCAGCCAACCACUUGCUUCCAAAUGACCCUUAUCCAGAAGUAUCCGUGAGUGCCUCAUCAACAGAAACUAAAGUGGAGACCUACCUCUCAGAGAAAAACGCACACAUAAGAAAAGCCGACCAACUUCAGUACUGGGAAGAACAUCCUAAUCUGUUUCCCUCUAUGGCUGCUGUUGCGAUCCCAGUGUGCCCCCUGUAGCUCUGUGGACAGUUUUGGAUUUGUUUACAUCUCACCCCAACCGGUCGCGGCAGAUGGCCGCCCCUCCCUGAGCCUGGUUCUGCCAGAGGUUUCUUCCUGUCAAAAGGGAGUUUUUCCUUCCCACUGUCGCCAAAGUGCUUGCUCAUAGGGGGUCAUAUGAUUGUUGGGUUUAUCUAUAUACAUUAAUGCUUGUAUGCUUUUCAUUUAUACUUUUGCCUUACUCUUCAGUUCAUAAUAUAAAGUUACUUGAAUGGUUUCCUUUUCCUUU